rnacentral:sRNA from 1 species
AAGGCACUUUAGCAGGAGUCUGGCGGCAGAGAGGCCGAUUGAUGAGAUGCCGAGGUCUGCAGCCCCAACUGGAGGCGCCCUGGAAGAGUGAGAUGGAGUGGGGAGGGGGUGGACCGGGCAGGGGAGGAGGCAAAGAGUCUGUUUCCCUGGCCCAAGGAGGCCGAGUGGAGCCGGCCCAGAGAUGAACGCAUCGGGGAGCUGCCAAGGUGCUUUGGCUCUAGCAGACAGGAAGAAAUUCUGGCCCAGCUGGAAGUAGAAAGAGGGGAGUGAGUCUCCUGAGGACCAUCUCAGAGGCCCCGGGAUCACCCAAACAGUCCUCCAUGUGAAUCAAUCCCAUGAUGCAACAUGCCUCCCCAGCCCCCGCUCUGACGAUGAUGGCCACGCAGAAUGUCCCGCCCCCACCCUACCAGGACAGCCCACAGAUGACGGCAACCGCCCAGCCACCCUCCAAGGCCCAGGCUGUCCACAUCUCUGCCCCCUCAGCUGCUGCCAGCACACCUGUGCCCAGUGCCCCCAUCGACCCCCAGGCCCAGCUGGAGGCUGACAAGCGAGCUGUAUACAGAUGGUGAAGGCAAUCCAGGUCCUGAGAAUCCACCUUCUGGAG